rnacentral:rRNA from 1 species
UACGUAGGGUGCGAGCGUUAAUCGGAAUUACUGGGCGUAAAGCGUGCGCAGGCGGUUAUAUAAGACAGAUGUGAAAUCCCCGGGCUUAACCUGGGAACUGCGUUUGUGACUGUAUAGCUAGAGUACGGCAGAGGGGGGUGGAAUUCCUGGUGUAGCAGUGAAAUGCGUAGAUAUCAGGAGGAACAUCGAUGGCGAAGGCAGCCCCCUGGGCCUGUACUGACGCUCAUGCACGAAAGCGUGGGGAGCAAACAGG